AUCAUGAGGCAAGAUAUCUCAGAGAACAAUCUGAGGAUGUGCCAGGAGUGUUGUCUGUUGAAGUGCAUACUUGCCAUGUUUUCUGGAAGGAAGAGUUGGGAGGAUGCCUGGUAUUGUAAUGCUUCGGUUUAAAUUCCCAUUUGCUGAAGGUCGCAGGAUUAGUGGUGGUCUGUUGUAGCAGGUGUCAGUAGCACCGAAAUCUCUGUGAAUUUCAAAUUCCUGAAGCAGGAGGGUUUGACAGACAGUGGUGUGUUGCCACCGGGAGGGGACUAGUGGGAAGAGUUGUGGUGCCAUAAUGAACCUCUGAAGCAUACGUAUUGAUUUCCACUGUACCUUUAUUGUAAGGAUUGGUGCCAUUGUAUAUCCCAAAAUAAUGUAUUCAGCCAAGUGUUUUUCAUCUGAUAGAAAUAACUGCCCAGUAUGAAUUAUAGGUUUUAUUUGAGGAUAGUGCUGAAAAUUGCAAUAUUACAGUACUGCCACCUGUUAAUAAUGCAGUCACCUCUGGAAUAUUGUAAUUUGUACUGGUGUUGCUGUUUGUCUGUGGCUUUAUUUAAGAGUGGAAAGUGGAGAAGUUCAGCCGAGACAUUCCUGACAGCUACAGGCAACUUGUAGAACAAGAGUAACAAGUUGUUGGAGGAGCCAGGCCACUACAAGGCUUUGACCUCAUCCUGCAAAGUGCAAUGUCAAUUUGAUUUAAAGUUUAAUAUGUCCACCUCUACUCUUUAUCUAGUGGUUGACACUGUAAGCAAACAAUAGAAGUUAUAAAUCCACCCACUUGUGUCGUGCAGUGUGCUGUGGGACUUCCUUAGGAACUGAAAUGAUAUGCAGGCAUCGAAAUUCCUGACAAUCACCGCUUCGAGCAGACAGAUCUUUUCCAAGCAAGCAGUCGCCACUUGGCUGCUGUUGGCUUCGGAGAGCCGUAGUAUCUCCAGAGUGGCCAUGCCACAGACUUCUGGUGCCUGUGAUAGGAGAAUGGCAUCCCUUAAACAAAAUGGUCAUGAUGGGAAGAUGGUUUACUUAUUCAGCAAAAAGAACCACUUGCCUCAUUGCUGUGUGUAACAACAACAGCAUUUUAAGAAAUUCUAGUAAUAGCUGAAGAAAAUCAAGCACC
rnacentral:lncRNA from 1 species